CCCAACUAUCCCUAUUAAUCAUUACGUCAAUCCUAGAAACCAACAAAAUAGGAUCAAACGUCCUAUUUCAUUAUUCCAUGCUAAUGUAUUCAAGCGUUAGCUUGCUUUAAACACUCUAAUUUUUUAAAGUAACAGUCCAAAUUUCCCGCAACACCAAAUUAAUGGCAUUACGGUUCAUCAGGAAUGAGGAAUCAGUGAGACCAGUACAUACCAGAGGCAUAACCAACCUACUAACCCCGAAAUUCAACUACGAGCUUUUUAACUGCAACAACUUUAAUAUACGCUAUUGGAGCUGGAAUUACCGUAGCUGUUGGCACCAGACUUGCCCUCCAA
rnacentral:misc_RNA from 1 species